GAAAGUAAGUAAGGGCGUAUGGGGGAUGCCUAGGCUCUUGGAGGCUAAGAAGGACGUGGUAAGCUGCGAAAAGCUGCGGGGAUUUGCAAACGAGACUCGAUCCGCAGAUAUCCGAAUGGGACAACCCGGCAGGUAGAAGACCUGUCACACCGCGAGGUGAGCUAACCCUCUGAACUGAAACAUCUAAGUAGGAGGAGGAAAAGAAAGAAACAUCGAUUUCCAAAGUAGCGGCGAGCGAAAUGGAAGAAGCCCAAACCGAUAUUGUUACGGCAAUAUCGGGGUUGUAGGACUGCAAUAUUCAAUUAACAAUGAACUGGAAUGGUCUGGAAAGUCCAUCCAUAGAGAGUGAAAGGCUCGUACAGGUAAGUUUGUUAUGCGAAAGCAGUAUCCUGAGUAUGGCGGGACACGUGGAAUCCUGUGUGAAUCAUCCGGGACCAUCCGGAAAGGCUAAAUACUCGCAAGAGACCGAUAGUGAACCAGUACCGUGAGGGAAAGGUGAAAAGAACCCCGAACAGGGGAGUGAAAUAGAACCUGAAACCAUACGCUUACAACCGGUCGGAGCAGCUUCGUGCUGUGACGGCGUGCCUAUUGAAUAAUGAGCCUACGAGUUACUAAUCACUAGCGAGGUUAAGUGCAAGGAUGCACGGAGCCGAAGCGAAAGCGAGUCUGAACAGGGCGUUUAGUUAGUGGUUGUAGACGCGAAACCUUGCGAUCUACCCUUGAGCAGGUUGAAGGUUGGGUAAAACCAACUGGAGGACCGAACGAAUAAGCGUUGAAAAGCUUCUCGAUGACUUGAGGGUAGGGGUGAAAGGCUAAUCAAGCUGGGAAAUAGCUCGUACUCCCCGAAAUGCCUUUUGGGGCAGCGUUGUAAUAAAGAGUCUACUGGAGGUAGAGCUACUGAUUGGAUGCGGGGGCUUCACCGCCUACCAAAUCCUGACAAACUCCGAAUGCCAGUAGUAUGAUUUACAGCAGUGAGUGACUGGGUGCUAAUGUCCAGUCGCAAAAGAGGAACAACUCAGACCAGCAACUAAGGUCCCGAAGAAUAUGCUAAGUUGAUCUAACGAUGUUUUGUUGCAGAGACAGCUAGGAUGUUAGCUUGGAAGCAGCUAUUCAUUCAAAGAGUGCGUAACAGCUCACUAGUCGAGCGACAGAGCGUGGAUAAUAAACGGGCAUCAAGCAUAUCACCGAAGUUCUGGGCGCGAGAGCGCGGUAGGGGAGCAUUCCAUUCAGCGUCGAAGCAGUUUCGUGAGGAAUUGUGGAGCGUAUGGAAAAGCAAAUGUAGGCAUGAGUAACGAUAAUGCGGGAGAGUAACCCGCACACCGCAAGACCAAGGUUUCCUGAUCAACGCUAAUCGGAUCAGGGUUAGUCGGGUCCUAAGGGUAAGCCGAACGGCGAUCUCGAUGGAUAAUCGGUUAAUAUUCCGAUACUAACAUAUACCUCGAUGGAGAGACGAAGGAACGUAAGUGACGCCGCCUGACGGAAUAGGUGGUUAAAGGGCGUAGGUAUAGGGACAGAUUAAGAGUUAGUCCUUGCUGAAACCUGACAGUACAGAGAGCCUACGGGCAAUUUGAUAGAGCACCCAAGUCGACUUCCGAGAAAAUCUUCUAAGUUAUAGUAUAUGUUACCCGUACCGUAAACCGACACAGGUGGUCGAGGAGAGUAUCCUAAGGUGCUCGAGUGAAUCACGGUUAAGGAACUAGGCAAAUUAACCCCGUAACUUCGGGAAAAGGGGUCCCUAUGAAAGUAGGGCGCAGCGAAGAGGUCCAGGCGACUGUUUAUCAAAAACACAGGGCUCUGCAAAUUCGAAAGAAGACGUAUAGGGCCUGACACCUGCCCGGUGCUGGAAGGUUAAGAGGGGAUGUCAUCGCAAGAGAAGCAUUGAAUCGAAGCCCCAGUAAACGGCGGCCGUAACUAUAACGGUCCUAAGGUAGCGAAAUUCCUUGUCGGGU
rnacentral:rRNA from 1 species